rnacentral:rRNA from 1 species
UACGAAGGGUGCAAGCGUUACUCGGAAUUACUGGGCGUAAAGGGCUCGUAGGCGGCCAACUCAGUCGGACGUGAAAUCCCUCGGCUUAACCGGGGAACUGCGUCCGAUACUGGAUGGCUUGAGUGUGGGAGAGGGAUGCGGAAUUCCAGGUGUAGCGGUGAAAUGCGUAGAUAUCUGGAGGAACACCGGUGGCGAAGGCGGCAUCCUGGACUACUACUGACGCUGAGGAGCGAAAGCCAGGGGAGCAAACGGG